AUUGAACGCUGGCGGCAGGCCUAACACAUGCAAGUCGAGCGGAUGAUGGGAGCUUGCUCCUGGAUUCAGCGGCGGACGGGUGAGUAAUGCCUAGGAAUCUGCCUGGUAGUGGGGGACAACGUUUCGAAAGGAACGCUAAUACCGCAUACGUCCUACGGGAGAAAGCAGGGGACCUUCGGGCCUUGCGCUAUCAGAUGAGCCUAGGUCGGAUUAGCUUGUUGGUGAGGUAAUGGCUCACCAAGGCGACGAUCCGUAACUGGUCUGAGAGGAUGAUCAGUCACACUUGAACUGAGACACGGUCCAGACUCCUACGGGAGGCAGCAGUGGGGAAUAUUGGACAAUGGGCGAAAGCCUGAUCCAGCCAUGCCGCGUGUGUGAAGAAGGUCUUCGGAUUGUAAAGCACUUUAAGUUGGGAGGAAGGGUUGUAGAUUAAUACUCUGCAAUUUUGACGUUACCGACAGAAUAAGCACCGGCUAACUCUGUGCCAGCCGCCGCGGUAAAAC
rnacentral:rRNA from 1 species